rnacentral:rRNA from 1 species
GACGAACGCUGGCGGCGUGCUUAACACAUGCAAGUCGAACGGAAAGGCCCUGCUUUUGUGGGGUGCUCGAGUGGCGAACGGGUGAGUAACACGUGAGUAACCUGCCCUUGACUUUGGGAUAACUUCAGGAAACUGGGGCUAAUACCGGAUAGGAGCUCCUGCUGCAUGGUGGGGGUUGGAAAGUUUCGGCGGUUGGGGAUGGACUCGCGGCUUAUCAGCUUGUUGGUGGGGUAGUGGCUUACCAAGGAUUUGACGGGUAGCCGGCCUGAGAGGGUGACCGGCCACAUUGGGACUGAGAUACGUCCCAGACUCCUACGGGGGGCAGCAGUGGGGAAUAUUGCACAAUGGGCGGAAGCCUGAUGCAGCAACGCCGCGUGCGGGAUGACGGCCUUCGGGUUGUAAACCGCUUUCGCCUGUGACGAAGCGUGAGUGACGGUAAUGGGUAAAGAAGCACCGGCUAACUACGUG